rnacentral:rRNA from 1 species
UCUGGUUGAUCCUGCCAGACCUGAAUGCUAUUCGAUUAGUACUUAGCCAUGCAAGUUUAAAGGACGUGAAUGUUCGUCCUUGGCAUACGGCUCAGUAACACGUGGUGAAUCUGCCCUGUGGAACCCUAUAACCCCGGGAAACUGGGAUGAAUGGGGUAUAUUUGAGGUCGUCUGGAAUGAUACCUCUUUGAAAGGAGCCUAACUAGAUUGGUUUCCACCACAGGAUGACACCGCGGCCGAUUACGCUAGAUGGCGGGGCAACGGCCCACCAUGGCUUUGAUCGGUACCGGCAGUGUGAGCUGGAGCCGGGGAGACAAGUACUGAAACAAGGACUUGAGCCCUACGGGGUGCAGCAGGCGAGAAAACUCCGCAAUGCGGGCAACCGUGACGGGGCUAAUCGAAGUGCCAAUUCUAAAAAAGUUGACUGUGGCGGGAUAUACACAGUCCCGCAAGAAAGGAGAGGGCAAGGCUGGUGCCAGCCGCCGCGGUAAAACCAGCUCUUCAAGUGUUCAGGACUAUUAUUGAGCUUAAAGCACUCGUAGCGGGUCUCGCAAGUCCCUGGUUAAAUCCAGGUGCUUAACAUCUGGGCCGCUAGGGAUACUACGAGACUUGGGAGCGGAAGAGGUGUCCGGUACUUAUGGGGUAGCGGUGAAAUGCGAUAAUCCCAUGAGGACCACCGGUGGCGAAGGCGGGACACUAGGACGCGUCCGACCGUGAUGGGUGAAAGCCUGGGGAGCGAACCGGAUUAGAUACCCGGGUAGUCCAGGCCGUAAACGAUGCCCGUUAGGUGUGGCAUUUGCCACGAGCAAAUGCCGUGCCGAAGUGAAAGCGUUAAACGGGCCGCUUGGGAAGUACGGUCGCAAGGCUGAAACUUAAAGGAAUUGACGGGGGAAUACCACAAGGGGUGAAGCCUGCGGUUUAAUUGGACCCAACGCCGGGAAACUUACCAGGGGCGAUAGAAGGAUGAGGGUCAGGCUGACGACCUUACCCGACUGUCUAAGAGGUAGUGCAUGGCCAUCGCCAGUUCGUGCCGUGAGGUGUCUUGUUAAGUCAAGCAACGAACGAAACCCACGCCUUUAGUUGCUACCGAUAGAGUUAUGACUCUCCGGGCACACUAAAGGGACCGCCACUGCUAAAGUGGAGGAAGGUGUGGGCCACGGUAGGUCAGUAUGCUCCGAAUCCACCUGGGCCACACGCGGGCUGCAAAGGCAGGGACAAUGGGUCGCUACUCCGAGAGGAGACGCUAAUCUCGAAACCCUGUCUCAGUUGGGAUUGUGGGCUGCAACUCGCCCUCAUGAACUUGGAAUCCCUAGUAGUCGCGUGUCAUCAUCGCGCGGCGAAUGUGUCUCUAUUCCUUGCACACACCGCCCGUCGCUUCAUGCGAGUGUUUUCGGGGAGAGGCGAGUUCCUAUGGGGCUCGUCGAUCUUUGGGGACGCAAGUAGGAAGAAGUCGUAACAAGGUA